GCGACCGAGCGAGACGAUUGCUCGGUCGCUAUGUAGCGACCGAGCACUCGUCUCACUCGGUCGCUAC
rnacentral:pre_miRNA from 1 species